ACAAACUAGAGCUCGAAGAGAUCCAGAGACCCCCGCAGCCAAAAGCAACAAAGCCACCCACACGCACACUUGCUCACAUACAUAUGUCCAAAUUCAGCUCAAAAGCAUGUUGUUGCCGCUGGCAGCUCUCAACAGAAGAGUGAUUGAGUCACAUGAAGAUCAAAGAAAACUUUAUCUUGUGUCGGUCAAAGUGGAAGAAAAAAUGCUCUCAGAUGCUUAAACUUCUCAUUCUACAAAUUUGAGGAAAAGGACUUGUAAAUGUAUACAUUUAUUACCAUAAAAUACUUUUUUACUCUACAUUUUAAAUUCAUAUUUCCUUUUUUUAUCUUAAAAAUAAAAACGACUUCUCCCCCUCCUGCUUUUGAGAUCUCCUUCCAGAACCACUUCGCUCCCCUCCGCGAGACUGGACGCGACGCUGUGAUCAUCGGAGACUCCAUCGUCCGACACAUACCCGCGAUCCUGAAGGCCGACGAGAGCCCCAGAGCGGUCGUGCUUCACGCCGGGGUUAACGACACCACGCUGCGGCAGACGGAGACGCUGAAGGGGGACUUCAGCAGCCUGAUCGAGAUGGUUCGCAGCACGACGCCCGCGGCGAUGAUCGUCGUGUCAGGACCACUGCCCACGUAUCGACGAGGACACGAAAGGUUCAGUAGACUUUUUGCUUUAAAUGAAUGGUUGUUGUCAUGGUGUAAAGAACAGAAACUGCUAUUUGUUAAUAACUGGAAUCUUUUCUGGGAGCGUCCUAGACUGUUUCGCGCUGAUGGAUUACACCCCAGCAGAGUCGGAGCGGAGCUUCUCUCUGACAACAUCUCCAGGACACUUCGCUCCAUGUGACUAGAUUUACACAAGCUCCAGUCUGGAUCCAGAACACCUGAGAAGAGAUGAUGCUGACCCUCAGAGGACCUCAGAUGAUGCCAACCCUGAAUCAACAAACAGAACCAACAAUUAUUGCUAAAUGUGUGACUGAAUCAUAUAAUAACUUAAUUAAUAAUAUUGAUAGUUCAUCGUCUAGCUGACUACGUCUUGUAUUAUUAUUAUUAUUUUUAUUUUUUCUAAAAUCCUGUCAAAUGUGCACAAACUACUAGCUACUACUAAAUAUUGUAGAAACAUAAUUUUCUGUAAAGUUGCUUUGUAACGAUUUGUUUUGUAAAAAGCGCUAUACAAAUAAACUUGAAUUGAAUUGAAAAAAA